rnacentral:rRNA from 1 species
UGCAGUCGAACGUGAAGCACUUCGGUGUGAGUAGAGUGGCGGACGGGUGAGUAACGCGUGGGAAUCUACCCAGUAGUGGGGGACAACUACCGGAAACGGUAGCUAAUACCGCAUACGCCCUAUGGGGGAAAGGCUUCGGCCGCUAUUGGAUGAGCCCGCGUCAGAUUAGCUAGUUGGUAGGGUAAAGGCCUACCAAGGCAACGAUCUGUAGCUGGUCUGAGAGGACGAACAGCCACACUGGGACUGAGACACGGCCCAGACUCCUACGGGAGGCAGCAGUGGGGAAUAUUGGACAAUGGGCGAAAGCCUGAUCCAGCAAUGCCGCGUGUGUGAAGAAGGCCUGCGGGUUGUAAAGCACUUUCAGUUGGGAAGAUGAUGACGUUACCAACAGAAGAAGCACCGGCUAAAUCCGUGCCAGCAGCCGCGGUAAUACGGAUGG